rnacentral:rRNA from 1 species
UACACUCCUGCGGGAGGCAGCAGUGGGGAAUAUUGGACAAUGGGCGCAAGCCUGAUCCAGCCAUGCCGCGUGAGUGAUGAAGGCCCUAGGGUUGUAAAGCUCUUUCACCGGUGAAGAUAAUGACGGUAACCGGAGAAGAAGCCCCGGCUAACUUCGUGCCAGCAGCCGCGGUAAUACGAAGGGGGCUAGCGUUGUUCGGAUUUACUGGGCGUAAAGCGCACGUAGGCGGACUAUUAAGUCAGGGGUGAAAUCCCGGGGCUCAACCCCGGAACUGCCUUUGAUACUGGUAGUCUUGAGUUCGAGAGAGGUGAGUGGAAUUCCGAGUGUAGAGGUGAAAUUCGUAGAUAUUCGGAGGAACACCAGUGGCGAAGGCGGCUCACUGGCUCGAUACUGACGCUGAGGUGCGAAAGCGUGGGGAGCAAACAGGAUUAGAAACCCUUGUAGUCCCA